CGAUUAGGGUUCGAUUCUGGCUCAGGAUGAACGCUAGCGAUAGGCCUAACACAUGCAAGUCGAGGGGCAGCACAUGAGUAGCAAUACGAUGGUGGCGACCGGCGCACGGGUGAGUAACACGUAUGCAACCUACCUCUAACAGGGGGAUAACCCGUUGAAAGACGGACUAAUACCCCAUAAUACAGGGGCUCCGCAUGGAGAUAUUUGUUAAAGAUUUUAUCGGUUAGAGAUGGGCAUGCGUUCCAUUAGCUAGUUGGUGAGGUAACGGCUCACCAAGGCGACGAUGGAUAGGGGAACUGAGAGGUUUAUCCCCCACACUGGAACUGAGACACGGUCCAGACUCCUACGGGAGGCAGCAGUGAGGAAUAUUGGUCAAUGGAGGCAACUCUGAACCAGCCAAGUCGCGUGAAGGAUGAAGGUCUUAUGGAUUGUAAACUUCUUUUGCAGGGGAAUAAAUAGCGGUACGUGUACCGUUUUGCAUGUACCCUGCGAAUAAGGAUCGGCUAACUCCGUGCCAGCAGCCGCGGUAAUACGGAGGAUCCGAGCGUUAUCCGGAUUUAUUGGGUUUAAAGGGUGCGCAGGCGGGAGAUUAAGUCGGCGGUGAAAUUUUGCAGCUCAACUGUAAAAGUGCCUUCGAUACUGGUUUCCUUGAGUGUGGAUGAAGUAGGCGGAAUUUGUGGUGUAGCGGUGAAAUGCUUAGAUAUCACGAGGAACUCCGAUUGCGCAGGCAGCUUACUAAACCACUACUGACGCUCAGGC
rnacentral:rRNA from 1 species